CGAACGUUGUAAGUAGCAGCGCCAGGUCGAAGAGUGAAAGCAGGAGUCAGCAAGGGAGUCAAGUCAAGAAGCUUUGACUUGUUGUUAAUUGGCUCGGCGACCUUAAGCUUGUCAGAACGACCAACCAUCUCAUUAAUAGUUCGGAAACCAAGUUUAGCCAUAAUUCCACGGAGCUCUUCUGCGACGUAGUAGAAAAAGUUUACAACGUGCUCCGGUUGACCCUCAAAUUUCUUCCUCAAUUCAGGAUCUUGAGUUGCGAUACCAACGGGACAAGUAUUCAGAUGACAUUUACGCAUCAUGAUACAGCCCAAUGCAAUCAAAGGAGUAGUCGCAAACCCCCAUUCUUCAGCACCAAGCAAGCAAGCGAUAGCAACAUCACGACCGGUACGAAUUUGACCAUCAGUUUGGAUAACAACUCGCCCACGAAGGUCGUUCAAUACCAAAGUUUGAUGGGUUUCGGCAACACCUAGCUCCCAUGGUAAACCAGCGUAUUUAAUACCAGUCCAACGAGAGGCACCGGUACCACCAUCAUGACCUGAAACCAAAAUAUGAUCUGCUUUGGCUUUUGCAACACCAGAAGCAACAAUACCGACACCUACUUCAGAAACAAGCUUAACGGAUACACGAGCACGAGGGUUGGCACUCUUCAUGUCAUAAAUCAACUGCUUCAAAUCUUCAAUAGAGUAGAUAUCAUGAUGAGGAGGAGGAGAAAUCAAACCAACACCAGCAGUGGAAUGACGAGUUUUCGCAAUUGAUUCACUCACCUUAUUACCAGGCAAUUCACCACCCUCACCAGGCUUGGCACCUUGAGCCAUUUUAAUUUGAAGCUCAUCAGCAUCAGACAAGUACCAAGAAGUAACACCGAAACGACCGGAUGCAAUCUGUUUGAUGGCAGAACGCAUUGUAUCGCCAUUGGCAAGACGCUGACUGCGAGCAGGGUCUUCACCACCUUCACCAGUGUUAGACUUACCGCCCAAACGAUUCAUGGCAAUGGCCAAAGAAGAAUGAGAUUCCAUACUGAUCGAACCGUAAGACAUAGCACCAGUGCAGAAACGGCGAACAAUCUCAGUCCAAGGCUCAACCUGUUCAAUGGGAAUAGCUUGAGAAGAAUCAAAAUCGAAAUCCAACAUACCACGAAGAGUACACCUCCUAGUUUGUUCGUAGUGUGUACGAGAGAAUUCCGCAUAAGCAGCCUCGUUCUUAUUGCGGACGGCAUCUUGAAGACUGGCGAUAGCCUUUGGAUGGUUGACGUGCUGCUCACCACCAUCACGAUAGUAAAAGUCACCCAUAUCGGGGAUUUGAAGACUGCGAAUGGAUUGAUCGGUUGGAUAUCCACGCUCAUGAAGAGCAAAAGCAUCAAGAGCAAUAUGCUCAAAAGUUACACCACGGAUACGGGAUGCGGUACCAAGGAAACAUUUGUUGAUGACCUCGUUGUCAAUGCCAAGAGCCUCAAAAAUCUGGGCACCUUUAUAUGAUUGCAAAGUUGAAAUACCCAUCUUGGACAUAACCUUCAAAAUACCGCCAUUGAUAGCAUGCUUGAAAUUCUUUAUGGCAGUUUCUUCUGUGAUGCCAGGUUUCAUUGCGUUCUGUCUGACUAGCUUUGUUAAAGCUUCCAUGGCUAAAUAGGGACAAACGGCAUCGGCACCAUAGCCAAGAAGUGUGCACAUAUGGUGAACUUCACGCGCGUCACCAGAUUCACAAACAAGAGCAACUCUAGAACGCAAUUUGUUUUGUACCAAAUAAUGAUGAACGGCACCGCAUGCGGCAAUGGAAGCCAAAGGUACGCGCUCACUGUUAACGUUACGGUCGGAAAGGACUAUAGCUUUAUAGCCCUCAUUGACGGCAGUAUCAGCUUCGGAACAAAUACGCUCGAUGGCGGCAGCAUAGCCAGCAACGCCUUCACUCUUGAAAAAAGUGAUGUCGAUAGAAGCGACUUUCCAGUCAGGGUAAAUACGGUCAACAUUUUUCAAAGCAUUGAACUCCUCAACAGUCAAAAUGGGAGUAGGCAUGCGGAGACGACGACAUUGGCUUUGAUUAAUUUCAAGCAAGUUACCACUAGGACCGAUGUAGCAUUGCAAACUCAUUACGAUAGCCUCACGAAUAGGAUCAAUAGGAGGAUUAGUGACUUGAGCGAAAAGUUGACGGAAAUAGUCGUAAAGUAAACGAGGCUGGUCGGAAAGGCAUGCGAUUGCAGCAUCAUUACCCAUACUUCCCAAAGUUUCCUUGCCGCCAUUAGCCAUGGGAGCCAUAAUCAUGUUAAUCUGUUCCAAAGUGUAACCAAAUGCUAACAUGGUUUUGUCAUCGGCAAGAGGAACAUCAUCGACAAUGGGAGUAAGAUCAACGCUAGUGGAUUCUAUAAGAGAGUCAACAAUCGAGUUCAUGUCGAUAAGCUCUUGGUCGAGCCAACUACGGAAGUCGUAGCGACUGGCAAUGUUGUGCUUGAGCUCCUUAUCGUCGACAAUACGACCCUCUUUGGUGUCAACAAGCAACAUACGGCCUGGAUAUAGACGACCUUUCUGAACGAUGCGGUCAGGUUCAAUGCCGACUGUACCAACUUCAGAAGCGCAAAUCAUCAUGUCAUCGGAAGUAAGAUAGAAACGGCAAGGGCGAAGACCGUUACGAUCAAGAUUGGCACCGCAAUAGCGACCGUCGGCAAAUGUAAACAAAGCAGGACCAUCCCAAGGCUCCAUUUGACAAGCAGCCCACUCGUAAAAAGCAGCCUUCUCGUCGCUGAUGUUUUUGUCGUUUUGCCAAGCUUCAGGAAUCAAGAGCAUGACAGCUUCGGGUAAGGAGACAACACCGCUAGCACAUAACAACUCAAUAACGUUAUCAAAAGCAGCGGAGUCCGAACCACCGCGCUCGAUGAUGGGAAGCAAAGAGGCGAACUCUUCGCCAAAACGACUGGACUUCAUCAAGCCUUCACGAGCAUGCAUCCAAUUUUUGUUACCACGUAGGGUGUUAAUUUCACCGUUGUGAGCGGCCAAUCUCAUGGGUUGAGCACGGUCCCAGGACGGGAAAGUGUUUGUAGAGAAACGGGAGUGAACGAGGGCAAAGUGGGAUACAUACUCGGCGUUGUUCAAAUCAAGGAAAUAAUUGUAGACUUGAACAGGAGCAAGUUGACCCUUAUAGACAAUGGUCUCACGAUGCAAAGAGCAAAUGUAGAACCAUUUUUCCUUACCGAUCAAAUGAGAAGACUGCUUGCGAAGAACGUAAAGCUGUCUUUCGAAGAGAUCGGUAUCAAACUCGGCUUCACCAUCGUAAGCGGCCUUGAGGACAACACAAGGCUGUAAGAUGGUAGGCUCACGAGAAAGAGCAGCGGGGCCCAAGAUGCUGUUAUCACAAGGGACGGAACGCCAAGCAAGGAUUGCAAGACCAAGUUUUUCGGCGACUUGGGUGAAAGCGGUCAUGGCUUCACGACAAACGUCGGCUUCAGGAGAGAAAAACACAUUACCGAUGGCAUACUCGCCGCUUUUGGGAAGGGUACAUCCGAUUUGACCAAACUCCUUUUGCAUAAAAGUGUAAGGCAUACCGGUCAUGACACCUGCACCAUCACCAUCACGAGUAUCGGCACCAGUGGCACCACGAUGAGUCAUGUUGCACAAAAGUAAGCGAGCAUCGGUGACGAUUUUGUGAGAGACUUGACCCUUGAUGUGACAAGUGAAACCAACACCGCAAGAGUCUUUUUCGUAGGCAGGAUCGUAUAAAGCUUGAGCCUUGGGAAGGGCACCAGCCCAAGAGGGAUUUCCCUCAGUAUCAUACUCAUAGGGAGGAGCAUUGAGAAGGUCAUCGGAACAAGCGGUCGUGUUCACUUGUUCGUCACGAGCCUCAACGAGGGCAGAGUUAUGAUUGAUGGGUUGGACUGAAGAUAAGACAGCCAUUUUUUCAAAAAGGGAAGAAUGAAAAAGAAAAAAAUAAUAAUAGUUGGUGUGUUUGAAAAAUCGUUAAAAAACGUAAAAGAGGAAAAAAAAGGAAACAAAGAAUAUACACACACACACAAAGUAAACAACGAAAAAAGGAAAACUAAAAGAAGACUAGACAAGAAAAAAGCAGUACAAGAUUUUCACAAGCUAGAAUUGGUAUAUCGUAUAUAUAUAUAUAUAUAUAUAUAUAUAUGCGUGUUUCAAAACAAAGCGACUACCUAACCCAAUGAUUAAAAAAAAAUAACAAGGUAAAAAGGUAGAGGGAGUGAGGACAAGUAAGAAAAUGAAACAAACUAGUCGCAAGAGAGAAAAAAAAAUAAGAAAAAUAAAGGACCGUUAUGUAUAAUAAAAACAAUAGAUUAGAUUAAAUAAACAACCAAAAACGUCCCGAUAUUGCGAGGAAAAAAAAAGGGAAACAGCCAGAAGCGUGCACGAAAAAAAGAUCUCCUAUUUUUUUUAUAAAAAAAAAAAAAAAAGAGAAAAGAAAUAGCCAACUAACGUGCGCGUACGGUAUAAAGAGAGGGGAUUCUUUUCAAUUGCUGAAAAGAAUUUUUAAAGGAAGAGAAAGAGAAAAAGAGGAAAGGAAAAAAAGAAAAGAAGAGGAUGAAUGAAUACACAAUGGAAUUCAAGUACUAAGGGGAUCACCAACUUUUCUUUUAGUUGCUCUAUACUGCUCUGCUCUGCUCUACUUGCUUUGCUUUGCUCUAUACUGCUCUGCUUAGCUUGCUGUUUGUUUUUGCUUGCUGGCGAAAGGAGACUGACUAAGAAAAGGUUUUUUGAGGAGGAUUUGUUGCGCUUUUGUAUGGAUACGAUCAAGAUAAUCAAUUACGUUAGCCCACCAAUCACGAAAGAGUCAAUAUUUUCCACGGGCCAAUCAAUCCGACCAUGUUGGUUCAGGCUCGAUAGCCCUGAUCCUCGGAAAAGCAGCGUGCAAAAGCCGCUACAAUGCAAAUUUCAACUUUGGAUCGGGUGACAUGUGACUCAGAGGGGAGACGAGGCAGAAGCAGCAGGCGAGCGCAAAAGUAAACAGAGAAACGCAGCAAGAGAAGAGAAAAAAGGAAGAGAAAGAAAAAAUGAAAGAGAAGAAAAAAAGUAAAUUGAAGAAAAGCAUUGUAUAAUAACAUUUAAAAUGGGAGAAAAAGAAAGAUCAAUAGAAUAGAAUAGUAUAGAAAUGCAGUAAUGAAUGACAAGAAACCAGGGAGCAUCAGACAUGUU